rnacentral:lncRNA from 1 species
UCACUUUUUUGUAAGAAAUUGCUUAAUAACCACUGUUUUUGAUUUUUUUUAAUUGGGGUAAAGUAGAGAUGACAGAGAAAAGUUUGGGGUGAGAGAGAUGAAAGAGAAAGGAUUGAGAGGAAUGAGAGAGAGGUGUGCAAAGGUUUGGGGGUUUCUUUUUUUUUUAGUUUUGAGAAUGAAAAUUAUUUAAAUAUUCUUGACUUUAAAACUUAGAAUACAUAAUAUAUGAAGGUUUUUGUUUACUAUUACACAUUGUCAAAAUGUACCAACUGAAAACAGGCAUACACGCAUUAACAAACCCCAUAU